rnacentral:rRNA from 1 species
CAAUAGCGUAUAUUAAAGUUGUUGCAGUUAGAACGCUCGUAGUCGGAUUUCGGGGCGGGCCGACCGGUCUGCCGAUGGGUAUGCACUGGUCGGCGCGUCCUUCCUUCCGGAGACCGUCCCUACUCUUAACUGAGCGGGGGCGGGAGACGGGACUUUUACUUUGAAAAAUCAGAGUGUUUCAAGCAGGCAGCUCGCUCUUGCAUGGAUUAGCAUGGGAUAAUGAAAUAGGACUUUGGUGCUAUUUUGUUGGUUUCGAACACCGAAGUAAUGAUGAGAAGGGACAGUCAGGGGCACUCGUAUUCCGCCGAGAGAGGUGAAAUUCUCAGACCAGCGGAAGACGAACCACUGCGAAAGCAUUUGCCAGGGAUGUUUUCACUGA